UACAGAGGUCUCAAGCGUUGUUCGGAUUCAUUGGGCGUAAAGGGUGCGUAGGCGGCGCGGUAAGUCGGGUGUGAAAUCUCGGAGCUUAACUCCGAAACUGCAUUCGAUACUGCCGUGCUUGAGGACUGGAGAGGAGACUGGAAUUUACGGUGUAGCGGUGAAAUGCGUAGAUAUCGUAAGGAAGACCAGUGGCGAAGGCGGAUCUCUGGACAGUUCCUGACGCUGAGGAGCGAAAGCGUGGGGAGCAAACAGG
rnacentral:rRNA from 1 species